rnacentral:rRNA from 1 species
UACGUAGGGGGCUAGCGUUGUCCGGAUUUAUUGGGCGUAAAGAGCGUGUAGGCGGCCUGGUAGGUCUGCUGUGAAAACUCGAGGCUCAACCUCGAGAUGUCGGCGGAAACCAUCUGGCUAGAGUCCGGAAGAGGAGAGUGGAAUUCCUGGUGUAGCGGUGAAAUGCGUAGAGCUCGGGAAGAACAUCGGUGGCGAAAGCGCUCUGCUGGACUGCAACUGACACUCAGGGACGAAAGCUAGGGGAGCGAAUGGG